GGAAACACAGACUAAUAUGAUUGUAAGAUAACAUUCAGCUUAACACACAGAAAAAGGACAGCAAUAACAUAUAUGCAGAGUUCAAAGAAUGAAAUUGAUACAGAAUAUACAAUGACAUGUAAAUGGCUGUACUGAGAUGAAACCGCUAUUGACUAAAAACGAUUUGCUGAGACAGGCUGGGAAUAUAUUUGGUGUCAUCGGAUUGUGCAAGGACGAUUUUACAGCCAGAAAACAAACAUCUGCGAUUCCUGUAAAACAGAAAUGAAAAUUCACAGACGGUCGCUGGCAGCAAACAUGCACUGAAAAGACUGUCCUAGUGGGUAUUUCGGUAUCAACUGUGAGAACAGCUGUACUGUGUACUGUGGUAGAAAUGGUAGUUGUGACCGAGCCACCGGAAUAUGUGAUGGAGGAUGUAAGGAGGGGUGAAGCGGGCCUUUCUGUGGUACUGAAGAAAGGCCAUUAUCGAACGCCACGUACACUGCAGACGAUAACAUUGUCAUCAUAUUAAGCCUGGUAUUAUUGGUUUUCGUUGUGAUCACCGGAAGUGCCGUAAAGAACAAGGGUUUGGGCUCCAAGUGAAAUCAUCGAUAUUUUGGGCCAAAUGACUUUAGAAACUGUACCUACUUCUUUCCUGAUAUGGAAGAGAAAUCAGAAUCAGAGUAACUGUCUAAUAAGCUUACCAUUUCCCUGGUGUAUAUAAGGACGUCUUCUACUAAUUCCUGAUUAAAAGAAAACUCCGGAAAUCAACCUGGAUCAGUUCAUAUCUCAGGUAGAAAGUUUCUACAUCACCCCCGCCAAAAAAAAACUACAACAAAAACACAUUAAACUGAUUUGACCUUCAACAAACCGUUUGGAAAGUUUUAUUAAUAAACAAUAUUCAUUUGCAUUCACGUUUACUUGAUAUAUCCCGGUGAACUCGAAAUGAAAGACAUCACAACAUAUUUCAUUGUAGGAUAUUUCAAGUGUUAAACAUAGGCAUUAGCGGCUAAAUUCAUAAAUUAAAUUUUAUGGCAAACGCCUCCAUCGUAAGUUUUUCAUACCCUUGUAGUGAUAUUCCAUUCUAACUGUGGUGAGUAUGCUUAUCAACUGAUUUGAGACGUGAUAACAUGUUCUACGGAUGAUCAAUUUUUAAAAUAGACUGGUUACCAACUUGUAAGUUGGUGUUAGAUGGGUUUUAACAGUCUCGUGUAAGGUCGGCAAAUCACAAAGGCUAAGGUAUUAUCUAAUUAGCAAAUUCAACCUGCUCUUGCUUCGAAUAUUCUCUUAACAUGUUUCAGUUGCUGAGCGGGUGUAACCGGUCAAAAUGGGAUGUAUAUUCCACGUAGACACCUGAUCUCAUAUCUAAUGUUUCCAUGUUUGUCAAACUUUUGAUUUUUUUUUUGUAUUCUUUAUAGCAUUUAUAAUAUAAGAAAGAAAAACAAUGACCAUUAUGUUUGUUAAACAGUGUGUUGACUGUACUCUCUUCUUCUAAAGGAUAUACACUGAUGCAUUUCGCGACAAGCACUCUUUUAUUUACCAAAUUGCAAUUUAAUUCUAACUGGGAAUGCUAACCGGACAACAUGACUGUGAUGUUUACACCGCAUGCGAUGAAGAUAUAUUAGUAUAUGUCAUGAUAAAAGUGGUUGACAUGCUGAUUUGCGGAUUCUGGGAACCCCAAACUCUAUAGACUUUUCUUCCCGGAGUUCAUUGUUUUUUGUUGUUUUUUUUAUUUUAUCGAUCAAUAUAUAUUCAAUCCUUACAUGCUUUACCCAGAAUUUCACUUUUAACGUGGGUGAACAAAAAGUAUGUAAAAUCGCCACCUACAUUAGUUUUUUUUAUCAUUUUUAUUUUGAUUUGCCAUUAUCUAGCAAUUUUGCACCACAGUGUUUGAACAUCAUUAACCAUAGUUGCCACUCCAAUUUGUCCCUGCAGAUAUAGCAAACAAUACAGAUCAGUAGGUAUGCAUUGAUUCUUGUAAAGACCUAAGUCAAUAUUUAAGAGUUUUAUGUACAAGCAGAAACUACCCAAAACUACUAUUUGACCCAUACAUCAUGGUUUGUAAUAUAUUCCUCCCACAAUUUUAACUUGUUAUAUAACAUUAUGUUGACGUCAUGUACGUGCAUAAAUACUAUUAAAAAGAUUUAUAAGCAAUGUGUAAUUUACAGAAAAUGUGAAAAAUUUGAUAGUAUCUUGCGUCACGUUUAUUAUUCUAUAAGAGGGAUGGACCCCCGUAUGAAGAACUCGGAGACACAAACAAGUCGAACAUGUACGAGGAACUCUACCAUUAUACCGAAGCUGCUGGAAAACAUUAAGAUGAAAUGACUGAACUUUAUAACCAGGUUUUCAUUUUUAACUUAGAAUUAGUAUACAUGCAUAUGUACCAUGUAUAGUCUACAUAUAUGUAUAAUGUAUCCAUUAAAAAUGUUUGUGUCA